rnacentral:lncRNA from 1 species
UACGUCCAUUUCAUCAGACUGGAUGUGUUCAAAGGUGAUAACAGAAGCUGAAUGAACUUGGCUGCCACUGUCCCCGCCUACAGCCAAAGACUGAAUUUGGUGAUGGCCCUCCUUGAGUAGAGCCAAGUGGUGCUCCAUAGCCAAGACUGUCAGCCCAAAAGAGUUGCUGAUCUGCCUGAUCUCAUGUUCCAAGAAUGAAACCCUG